UAAGUUGGUUGUUUGAAAGUAAAUUUUGAUUUUUUUUUCAUUACCAUUUUGCCUAAGUGGCCUCGGAUUUUUAGAGUAAAGAAUAAUGAAAUUUAACAAAAAGUUACGUGCGAUUAUAGUAAGUGUAGUAAGCGUGAACUUGUUUUUUAGUCUCAUAGAAUGUACUUCCUCGAAAUAUCAAGAAUUCGAUAUAGUUCCAGAAAUAAUACCAACUGCACCGAAACAACUUCUGCAGAUAACUUACCAAAAUAAAUUCCAAGCACACUUGGGGAAUGCACUUUCGCCUGCAGUGUUGGUUAAACCGCCAGAUGUAAAAUGGAAAGCAAACCCGAAAAAGUUUUAUUUGUUGACAAUGAUCGAUGCUAAUUUUCCGACGGGAUUGUUUCCUCAGUUUUUUCACUGGAUUGUAGGAAAUAUUCCUGGAAAUGAUUUAACUAAUGGUGAAGUCCUUGCAAGCUACUUUUUACCUACGCCACUUUAUGGAACUGGAUUACAUCGAUAUGUAUUUUUCAUUUUUGAGCAGCCAAAGAAACUUGAUUAUACCAAAAAUUUGUUUUUGCUACGCUUGUAUCCGAGUCUUCGGACAGCAUUGAAGUUUUACAACAUUGAUAGCCAUCCACUUUCCGGAAACUUUUUCGUCUCGGAGAUGAUUGUUUGAUUAUGGAUGUAUGCGUUUUCGAUCACGCACAUAUCAUGCAUUAAUCUACCCAUUAAAUACCUAAUAUCUACGCAUAUACUUAGGCAGGUAAUUCCACAAAAAUAAAAACCUCACAUGUAACUUUGUAAGUGCUUAAUGUAUUAUGUAAUAUGAACUAUACACCUAUCUUCUACCUAUAGAAAAUUACAUACUGAUGAUGAUUU